CGCAUCUGUGCAUGCAGCAUAUCAAUAAGCGGAGGAAAAGAAACUAACAAGGAUUCCCCUAGUAACGGCGAGUGAAGCGGGAAGAGCUCAAAUUUGAAAUCUUAAAGGGUUUCCCUUUACGAAUUGUAGUUUAAAGAAGUGUUUUCUGUUGAGGUUUUGGUAAAAGUUCUUUGGAAUAGGACAUCAUAGAGGGUGAGAAUCCCGUAUUUGACCUUUACUUUCAACUUUGUGAUACACUUUCAAAGAGUCGGAUUGUUUGGGAAUGCAGUCCAAAAUGGGUGGUAAAUUUCAUCUAAAGCUAAAUAUUGGCGAGAGACCGAUAGCGAACAAGUACCGUGAGGGAAAGAUGAAAAGAACUUUGAAAAGAGAGUUAAACAGUACGUGAAAUUGUCAAAAGGGAAGCGUUUGACACCAGUGUUGUUUUUCUGAAAAUCAAUUAAAGAACUGUUUAUGCUAAGCUGUUUAGACUUUAUCAGCUAACUGUUUAGUUUUGAGCUUUUCUUUAAUGCACUUUUCAGUUAACAAGUCAACAUCAAUUUCUUUUGCUGUAAAAAAGCUUGAGGAAGGUGGCUUGAGAUUCGUCUUAAGUGUUUAUAGCCUCUUGCCUAUGCAGUCGGAGAGAUUGAGGUCUGCAGCGUAGAUCCUUCGGGGCUAAAUGCAUUUGUGCUAAGUUAUAGCAUUUUAUAGACAACUUGUUGACUAUGAUUUGUCUUGUAGCUUACUCGCUUAUGUUAUUUUACCUACGCUUAGGAUGUUGACGAGACUGUCGAUCUCA
rnacentral:rRNA from 1 species